UACGAAGGGGCUAGCGUUGUUCGGAAUCACUGGGCGUAAAGCGCACGUAGGUGGACUUUCAAGUCAGGGGUGAAAUCCCGGGGCUCAACCUCGGAACUGCCUUUGAUACUGUUGGUCUUGAGUCCGGAAGAGGUGAGUGGAAUUCCCAGUGUAGCGGUGAAUGACGCAGAUAUUGGGAAGAACACCAGUGGCGAAGGCGGUUCUCUGGGACGGUACUGACGCUGAGACGCGAAAGCGUGGGAGCGAACGAGG
rnacentral:rRNA from 1 species